rnacentral:lncRNA from 1 species
GUUGGGUGUGCUUUUCCUAAUAUAUCUUGAUGGAUGAUCAGGAAAAAAAAGCUGGUGUGUCCAACAGCUUGAUAAUUUCAGGAUCAAAACAGAUUUUAUAUGUUGAUUUUCUUUCACUUGCUGAUGCAUUUUUUUAACCAAGCCGCUGGUGCAUAAGAUCUAGCCGGCAGCACACAGAACACAUUAGGAGAACAAAGGGAAUGUGAGAUUAAACCAAAAAGAGGCAAGAGCAGCAUUUCCUCACUGUUCUGCAUGAAGGCAGGAGCUGCUCCAAGACGAUGCAAACUCAGUUUUCUUAUUGGACUUAUGGCCUCUUCCCCUGUCAGAUUAUUCAAAGGGGACUUCAGCAAUGAAGGCAGGUAUGGGUUGUGCUGGCCAGCCACAGUGCCUGCUAGACUGCAGCCAGCUGGAGACACCUUUUUGUCCCAAAGCCUCUCUUCUGCAGCUGAACACUGAAGAAAGGCACUGAAGACAGGAAUUUGCAGAAGCUGAACAAUGAUAGUGGUGAAACCAUCUAUGAAGCCAUCUAUGACAGGCAGGUUGCCUGGAAAGACACUGUGAAUUCACCUCUGAUCCGCACCAGUAAAACCUCCUGUUAAAUGGAGAAAGUCAAGGCUGGUGCUUGUCUUCUUUCAUUGCCUUCUCAGGAUGUUCAGCUUGUGAUGACUGCAACAAAAGCAGACAUCUGACAUGUCUACUGGCCUCAGGGCAGUGGAGUGGCAUGACAGAGCUGCCAGUCCUGUGGCUUUGAUUGGCUUCCCCCUUUCAACCUCCUCAAUUUCUAUUUAGAAGUUGCAUGAGAUUUUUUAAACAAGUGCCUAAAUUAACUGGCACAAAUCAUCUUGCCCAGCUGAAUACCCAAGUGAAAUACUUUAUUUUUACAUAUCCAAGACAUUUAAAUGCUAUUUGACGACCUGGGUAGAGCAAAGACUGAAUAGUCAGGAUGCACAAUUUUCUUCAUUUAGUUUACUCUUUACCAGGUAGCCCAGGCUGAUGGUGACUGACACUCCUUGGCUCUUUGUGACAGUUUAUGUUUAUGCAGCAGCAGAUCUUAAGUGAGUACUAGUAUCAAAACAGUCAAUCAAUAUUGGCAGUAAGUGGUGGCUUUACUGCAAAUCCUUCAAGCAGAAAGAUUAAAACUAGGGGAAUGCAUUGAACUGCUUAGCCCUUAUCUCCUAAAUGCACAGCAUGACUUGAAGGCUGGGCCAUGAUGGCAGCCUGGAGUUUAGUGGGUGAUAGCAGUAGCUGCAUUCCAGAAGCUCAUUCCUCCUGGCUGGGCUGUGUGGGACUCAAUGGCCUUACCCAGGGCAGGGCAGGACUGCAACCGGGAGCAGGGCAGCAUGCCCAGCUCUGAUGGCACACCAGCAGUGAGCAAGGACAACUUCAUCAAAAAAGGCAGUGACAUUUAUAAGGAAGAAGAGAAAAAAUAUUACAAUUUCUCGUACCUGGACAGUAAAAGUGCAGAUGGCAGUGACAUUUAAGGGAAGAUGUGCAUGAACUAUGUCUUUCAAAACCUGAUAGUCAUUUGUAGAUGUAGACAGGUCUGUCAGAGCAGCUAAACCUUGAAACUAUUUUAAUACUACUUGUGAUUAAACUGCUAUGCCAGGCAAAAGCUAGAAGAGAAAAAGAUGCUUUCUUAGAAAGGGGCUGGUAGUAGCACAUGACCUUGGACAGUUUAUUAAGUAAGAAUCAAGUAAAAAGGUGCCUGGACAAAGGAAACCCCUAAAGCUUAUGACUAUUGGAAUUAAUAUGGUAAGACCUCAGGCAAAGACAGCAGAUGACAAUUAGUUCAGACUUAAUGGGCAGUGUUUGCAGAUGUACAAUACAUCUUGGAAAACACUGCAUUACUUGUUCAGGUUUCUGAAAAAUGUAGAAGUCAAUAAUAAAAUACAAAUUGUUAUAAAGACA